GCUAUCCAAUGCUGCAACAGAACAAGUAAGACACAUGAAUAUUUUGGCCACCUCAUCGGCCUCUGUGCUGUGCUUUUCUGUAUUUUGUAGAAAGCACUGGAUGAAGAUUUAAGGCUCAACUGUAUUUAAGAAAUGCUACAUAAGUUGAUUUAUAUCCUGAAUAUUUUGUGUCUGACAGAAAGAUAAAAAAUU